rnacentral:rRNA from 1 species
UAGCAUAAUCAUUAGUUUUUUAAUUGAAAACUUGUAUGAAAGGUUGAACAAAAGAAGUUCUGUCUCUAUUUUUAAUAUUGAAUUUAACUUUUAAGUGAAAAGGCUUAAAUUUUUUAAGGGGACGAUAAGACCCUAUAAAGCUUUAUAAAAAAUAUAAUAAUUUCUAAAAAUAAUUUGUAUUAUAAAUAUAUUUUUUUUUAUUUUAUUGGGGCGAUUCGGAUAAAAUUAUAAUUAACUGUCAGUAUGAGAUACAUAAAUUUAUGUAAAUUUAAAUGAUCCUAAUUAAAGAUUAAAAGACAAAGUUACUUUAGGGAUAACAGCGUUAUUUCUUUUAAGAGUUCUUAUUGAAAAAGAAGUUUGCGACCUCGAUGUUGAAUUAAAAUAUCUUUACAGUGCAGUCGUUGUAAGAAAA